GGAUAAAUGAGAGGAUAAUUGGGAUGUUGGGUCAUGGCCCACACCCUGCUCCCACUGGGGAUGCUCGGGAAACCCCAGUCCUCAGGCCAUCUUCCCUGUAAGUCUGACAUCUGGAUGCAACCAGGUUGUCUUUUAGUAGAAGACUCAAUGUUCAAGGCUAGAACAUAAGUCCCUUAAAUAAGCUAUAAAAUGGCAUGGUGCUGAGCAAAGUGCGGGAAAUACCAGGGAGGGUGUCCCCUUGUGCAGCUCCAGGUGGCCCUGAACCCCCGUUCCCUCCUAGCACCGGUUGACAUAAGCCUGUCUUGCAACAGGCAAACCUGAAUCCACCUGUAUGUGUUGCUGAAUACAAUUUUUUUUUCUUGGUAUACAUCAAAGAUGCAAACAAAUAGAAACAAUAUGUAGAGCAAAAAGUAGGUUUCCCGCCACAUGUUCACCUGGUCCCUUCUCCAAAACCUUCACCAUUAGGAGCUUGACGGGCCUGGCCCCGCACAGACUCCACAGAUGCACUCCGGUAAGUGCACGUCCACGGCCACAUGGGAGCAGAGCGCACACCGAUCUUUCCACGUGACAGACUUUCAAGAUUGGCUCGCAGGAGGAGCUUGACUUCUGUUUGGACGUUCCUGUGGUCUGAACAUCACACCCUUCAGGAGGCAGUAGUGGCACAUAGCUGUAAUAGGCUCUCUUCCCAGAGUAGCAGCAGCCUUCCUACCACCCAGUUCCAAGCAGAACUGCUAGAGCCUUCUGUGGAGAGAACCCCAGCCCAGACUUCAAGAUGCUGACAUUUGGAUGUCUUUCCGGAAACAAACCCCCAGCUAGAGCAAUGGUUCUCCACCGGAGGGUGAGGGGGGUUCCCCCCAGACAUUCUGGAGAGAGUCUUGUCGCCGCUGGGCUGGCACGUAGUGGGGAGAGGCCAGGGAUGCUGCUAACACCCUCCAGCGCACAUGACACCCCCACAUGGAUGCACCUGCUCUACACUGUCAAUCGCGCCACACUGGAGAAACUCGGCCUCAGGUGUCUGCGCACUGGCUCACUGCCAAGGGCCCUUCUCUACCUCUUCUGGAUUAGUAGGGCUGUUUCAUGGUACUCAACCUUCUCGAAUGCUAAAGAGUAGGUGAUACAUAUUGUGGAGUUUUUAUUCUCUCUAGCUGCCUAGGCCCUGACCCCUUCCUGUAAGUAGGAGACCACUGGUAUCCAAGGUGUCCAGUAAUGUCAUGGAAGCAAAAUAAGCCAGACACGUGCUUUUUCCAGGUGCCCUUCCAGCCAACGUACAGGUUGUCAGAUGCACUGGUGCCCCAGAGUGGGGACAGGGACUGUGUCCCUGUGGGGGUGGUGGGCCUCGCACAAACAAGCCACAAAGGUUCUAUGUAGCAGGAUUUGGUGGCGACAGCAGGAGGUUCCUCACAGGUCAUUCUGAAGCCAGGUCUGGGCACUGUUGUUAGCUGCCUGGCACCAAGUCCUGUCUGCCUGACAAUCCUGUGGGCUUUUAGAUACUUUUGAUCAGUUCCCUUUUAACAUUGUGUCCAAUCCCGUGGCUUGCCACCAAGAAUCCCGGCUGAUAUCCGUGGAUUCCUCAUAGUGAGGGAAGCAGCAGAGGCCAGUGAGAUGUUCAACACUGAUUUAACUCUGCUUUUCUACAGAAAAGUUAAAUGUGAAACUUUCCGCAUAAAAGAAUCCGAGUGUCCUACCCAAAACCCCAAAUACAGGAAGUUAUCAUCAUGAUUAUGUUGCGACUGGGGAAAAGGAAAGGCUGACAUUGUAGACUUCAUUACCAGUCUGUGUAUGAGGGAUAGGAUUUGGACUCACGGUAUAAAAUUGUGGAAUUGGAUUUAAGAAGAAGGUCUUACCACACACAUACUUAUUUUGCCUUGCUUUUGGUUCUUUAGGAGUAAAGUGGCUUGGUGUGGAGUAAUAAGUGA